rnacentral:rRNA from 1 species
AUGGACAGGCACACCUGCAAGCUCUGCUUCCGGCGGUUCCAGAAUGGCCGUGCGCUGGGCGGCCACAUGCGAUCCCAUGUCAUGGCGGCCGCCGCAGCUGCUGCGUACUCGACGCCGCCGACGCAGCAGCAGUCGCCGCCACUGUCCUUGGCGUCCACCUCGUCGACGGACACGGAUGGUAAGCCGGCUCAGCCGAAACGGCUGUCCUGGGUCCUGCGUGAGGAUCCCGCGAGAAGCUGUAAGGUAGGCGCGCCUGAAUUCUCAGGCGGAUGCUUCGGCGGGGUCACCGCGGCGGCCGGCGAGUCGUCGGUCGUGCAGGACGGCGAGAGCGACACGGAGUCCCCGCGCGGUGGCGCGGGGUUCGCCGUGAGCCGACGGCGCUCCAAGCGGGCACGGCGGCGUGCGCCGCCGCCUGUGCCGGAUCCCGAGCCGGCGAGCACCGUCUCCGAUUCGACGCAGGAGGAGGACGUGGCCAUGUCGCUCGUGAUGCUGUCUCGGGACUCGUGGACGCGGUCCAGAUCCGAGCCGGAGCCCCGCUGGGCCUCGGAGGCCGAGCAAAACAACGACGGCACCAAGGUGUUCGACGAGGACGAGGACGGCCCCGACGUGGCCGGCGAGGCUUACUACGCCGAGGCGACGCCGGUGCACGUGCACCCGCGCGCCAGGCACCAGUGCGGCGCAUGCAAGAAGGUGUUCCGGUCGUACCAGGCCCUCGGCGGCCACCGCGCCAGCGUCAAGAAAGGCAAGGGCGGCUGCGUGCCACCGCCGGCUGGCAAGGCCUGCCGCGCCGACGCCCCGAUCGUCCACGAGUGCCCGUUCUGCUUCCGCGUGUUCGGCUCCGGGCAGGCCCUGGGCGGCCACAAGCGCGCGCACAUGCCGUCGCCGUCUCCGGCGAAAUGCGGGGACAGCUUCGGGUCCUUCGAUCUCAACGUGCCGGCCGCGUUCGACGACGACUUCGAGCUCUCCGCCGUGUACGACGCCGAGUUCGGCAGCGUCAGACAGUGA